rnacentral:rRNA from 1 species
AUUGAACGCUGGCGGCAUGCUUUACACAUGCAAGUCGAACGGCAGCGCGGUAUUCGCUCUGGCUGCGAGUGGCGAACGGGUGAGUAAUGCAUCGGAACGUGCCCAGCAGUGGGGGAUAGCCCGGCGACAGCCGGAUUAAUACCGCAUUCGACCUGAGGGUGAAAGCGGGGGACCGAAAGGCCUCGCGCUAUUGGACCGGCCGAUGUCGGAUUAGCUAGUUGGUGGGGUAAAGGCUUACCAAGGCGACGAUCCGUAGCUGGUCUGAGAGGACGACCAGCCACACUGGGACUGAGACACGGCCCAGACUCCUACGGGAGGCAGCAGUGGGGAAUUUUGGACAAUGGGGGCAACCCUGAUCCAGCCAUGCCGCGUGCGGGAAGAAGGCCUUCGGGUUGUAAACCGCUUUUGUUCGGGAAGAAAUCCUCUGGGCUAAUACCCCGGGGGGAUGACGGUACCGGAAGAAUAAGCACCGGCUAACUACGUG